rnacentral:lncRNA from 1 species
UGGAAGUGCAGUUCCUCCAGUACCUGCCAGGAUCGAGGCAGGACUCGGUGUAAGUUGGGAAAGAUUUCUCGGUGCUCAGCUACAGAGAGCAGCUUGUCUCGAAGGCGUUGCAAUUGGAGGGGGUCCCGGCAGCUUACGGGCAACACGGGAGAGAGGAUCUGCAACCGGUGGUUAAGCAAGUAUUGAAAAUGGGCCUUGCGCCUCCGAAGGUUCUUGUCUGAAACACCGUAGUAGGCUGCGUGAGGGCUGGCAGAGCGCAGCUCGAAGUCCCGAGCCAGGGCCUCAUCCACCACCUUGGCUAGAUGGCUAAGGCCCUCUGCAUCGUUCUUCUCCUGCAGGGCAAUCUGUCGGUGAAUGUCCAGACAUUUCUCCUCAAGCUCCCGCUCCCCACACAGGUCCGCAUGCGUGCCUACAAUACACACCACAGCGUGAGGCACCCGGGCCCCCACCCGAUGCAAGAAGGAGCCCACGGUGGUAGGGAAGCAGCGAGGUUCAUAGGUGGCCAAGUUGACCACGAGCACAUACAGGGCUCCAGGGGAGAGGAAGAAGGGCUGUAUCACCUCAUAGCUUUCAUCACCGGCUAAGUCAUACACAAUGAACCGCAAGCCCCGGGAAGCAUCCGCUGUCCAGCUGGUCACCUCGAUGCCCUUACUACCAAGGGGAGGGAAAGGUAGGUAGCUCUUCUCCUUGUCCCCUCCACCUUGCCCUCCCUCCACUUUGUCCUCGGUGAGGCAAUGUCGAAGCAGGGUCUUUCCUGCAGCCUUGUGGCCCAUCAGGAGCAGCUUGAGCCGGGGCUGCACGGCUGGCUGCGAAUGCGCCAGUUCCUUCUGGUAGGCUGCGAUGUAAGGGAUCCCCUUCAUGCAGACUUCGUAAGGGGGCUGAAUCAGUGGGUUGUCCUUGAUUUUCCACAAGCCUACCCGGGAGAGCUGGCCAAAGUUGUCCGGCAGCACAGCGAUCUGGUUGCCCUGGAGCACCAGCUCCUCCAGGCCAGUCAGCUCCACAAUGGAGUCUGGCAGGUACCGGAUGCGGUUAUUAUCCAGCCACAAGGUGAGAAGCCGACCCAGCCCGGCGAUAAGAGAGGGCACUGAGGUGAGCUGAUUGCGACUAAGAUAGAGCUCCUCCAGACCAGCCAGGGGCAGCAGCGCAGCAGGGAACUCCUCGAAGAGGUUGGAAGAGAGGUUGAGCAUUUUGAGCCUCUGCAGACGGCUGAACUCGUCGGGCAGAGCCUGGAGCCCGUUGUUAUCUAACAUGAGGCUCUCCAAACUGGCCAGCUCGCAGAAGCCUCUGGGCAGCGUGCCAAGCUCGGCCCCGCUAAGCCAGAGGAUCUUGAGGGCACGCAGGGCACUGAUAUCCUCAGGUAGGCCUCGCAGCCGGUUGCUGGAGACGUCGAGCUCCUCCAGGGCAGCCAGCUGCAGCAGCUGCUGGGGAAAGGCGGUGAGCUGGUUGUGGUCCACGUCAAGGGUCCGAAGGUGGUUGAGGCAGGAGAAGGAAUCUGGCAGAUGCGCCAGCCGGUUGAAGCUGACAUCCAGCUCCUCCAGAUAAUCGAUCAUUUUGUUUAUCUGCUUAAGAGAGCUGAGUAGUGCCUGG